rnacentral:rRNA from 1 species
UACGUAGGUGGCGAGCGUUGUCCGGAAUUACUGGGCGUAAAGAGCGCGCAGGCGGCUGGUCAAGUCCGACGUGAAAUCUCCCGGCUUAACUGGGACAUUGCAUCGGAAACUGAUCGGCUUGAAGGUGGGAGAGGGUAGCGGAAUUCCCGGUGUAGUGGUGAAAUGCGUAGAUAUCGGGAGGAACACCAGUGGCGAAGGCGGCUACCUGGCCCAUUCUUGACGCUGAGGCGCGAAAGCUAGGGGAGCAAACGGG